GACGAACGCUGGCGGCGUGCUUAACACAUGCAAGUCGAACGGAAAGGCCCUGCUUUUGUGGGGUGCUCGUGUGGCGAACGGGUGAGUAACACGUGAGUAACCUGCCCUUGACUUUGGGAUAACUUCAGGAAACUGGGGCUCAUACCGGAUAGGAGCUCCUGCUGCAUGGUGGGGGUUGGAAAGUUUCGGCGGUUGGGGAUGGACUCGCGGCUUAUCAGCUUGUUGGUGGGGUAGUGGCUUACCAAGGCUUUGACGGGUAGCCGGCCUGAGAGGGUGACCGGCCACAUUGGGACUGCGAUACGGCCCAGACUCCUACGGGAGGCAGCAGUGGGGAAUAUUGCACAAUGGGCGGAAGCCUGAUGCAGCAACGCCGCGUGCGGGAUGACGGCCUUCGGGUUGUAAACCGCUGUCGCCUGUGACGAAGCGUGAGUGACGGUAAUGGGUAAAGAAGCACCGGCUAACUACGUG
rnacentral:rRNA from 1 species